UACGGAGGAUCCGAGCGUUAUCCGGAUUUAUUGGGUUUAAAGGGUGCGUAGGCGGCCUAUUAAGUCAGGGGUGAAAUACGGUGGCUCAACCAUCGCAGUGCCUUUGAUACUGAUGGGCUUGAAUCCAUUUGAAGUGGGCGGAAUAAGACAAGUAGCGGUGAAAUGCAUAGAUAUGUCUUAGAACUCCGAUUGCGAAGGCAGCUCACUAAGCUGGUAUUGACGCUGAUGCACGAAAGCGUGGGGAU
rnacentral:rRNA from 1 species